ensembl:lncRNA
CCAGCCGGGAGCGCAGCUCGGUAUAGGGGUCUCGGGAGCACCGGGCGUGGAGUCCCGGGACAACAGGGCACGGCGGUCUCGGGAGCACUGGGGAAGGCAAAGCCGGGAGCGUAUCUGGGUAUAGGGGUCCCGGGAGCACCGGGCACAGGGGAACCGGGAGCACAGGGUGUGGGGGAGCAGGGAGCACCCCUGGGUGUAGGGGUGUCGAGAGCACUGGGAAUAGAGUCCUUGGAGUAUCCCUGGGUAUAGGGGUCCCAGGAGCACCGGGAAUAGCGAAACUGGGAACAUCUGGAUGGGGGGGCAGGAGCACUGGGCACAGGGGGAGCUGCGCACCCCCGGGUAUGCGGAAGGUGCCCUGCGGACACUGGGGGGGAGCCGGGCACAAUCUGCCUAUGGAGGAGCUGCCUCUUGAGCACAGGUAGAGGAGGGCACAGCGGGGCAUGGGGGUCCCCCCGGGCCCAGGGGGAGCAGGGCACACCGGGGAGAGGGGGCAACCUCCGCCUGCCACUGAGACAUGGUGGCUGCUGUCCAGGGGACCGCAGGGAUGAGGGGGUGGCUCUGCUCUACAUCGCCUGGGACAAAGGGCCCUGGCUCGAAUCACCCAGCACCUCACCUGGGCUGUGGUCUGGCCUCCCCGACUGCCUCGACACCUUUUACACCCCGCGAGCCUGCUGCUGUCAGGGACUGUGUCCAGGGGGUGACACUGAACCGUCCCUUCCAGGGGACGGAGGUUUGGGGGUCUCCUGCUCUGAGGCGGGUUUCCCCAAGUUGCGUCUCUCUGACAGCGGCUUUCAGGUCCUUCCCAGCUCUGCGACGUGACAGGGAAUCGGUGGAGCUGCCCUUUACUUAUUAUGCUGCUGUGCUUUCAUUUUUGUGAAUAUUGGCCUCCUCACAAACUUCCCAGGCUGGAAACACGGCUGCAAAAGCUCCUCCUAGCUCCCCUUGGAAACACCAGCCCGGGCUGUGCUUUCACCCAUGCUGGCAUUGCUCCAUCGGGAGAUUUAUUCCACAUCAGGCGCAGUGACCGAGAGGCGCCUCGGCCGAUUCCUUGGCUCGUCUUGCCCAAACCCUUAAUGUUUUCUCUUCUACUUUUAGGCUCUGCCUAUACCGUAAAUGAAACACAUGAACAGUCACGGAAAACUCCCCUAAAUUCCUGGAAACUGGAGCCACCUGGAGAGCAGCUCCCUUGCCCAGAAGAAAUCCCCAAAUUCUUUUUUUUUCCCCCCCAUAUGCACAAACCUUUACUCUCUUCUCCCUUUGAGGCAAGUCUCUGACUGUGAUAACGCCUUCGAUAACGCCUCGGAUCUGCUCACACGGCUUCUGCCUGCAGAAGAAAAGAGCCGUGUUUCCAGCCACAAAACCUCCCUGCUCCCGGGGAAACACUGUCCCUUUGUGCCCGUCGCACAAUCAAGCUAAACCUUGCGUUGCUAAAAGAGUUUGAACUUUUGAAUGUUUCCACUGAAAGCUCCUUUCUGCGGGAAUCCAGCCACCCACUGUGACAACAAAUGGGCACAUUGUGGGGUUCUCGGGGUUUCUGGCCACCACAGAUCCAAAAGUUGCCGUCGUGCUGCUUUGUUACCACUGCCAAAGUUGUUUCGCUUCACUGAACCAAGCCCAGGAAGCUUUUUCUUUUUUGUUUUUCCUCUUUACUGUGAGCCCCGGUGCUGAUAAAUAGAAGCUGGAAUUUGCCUUUCUGCAAACAUCGUGUUUUCCCAUGUAUUUAUACUGCAAACAUCCAGCUGCUGGGAGACACCACUGCGAGCUGGAGCUCUCGCCGCGGAGCCGGGGCCGACGGCGGCUGCCUGCCAGGGCUGAGCCCCCUGGGGUGUCCGGGGUUGCAGCCGAGACAGGGGACCGGAGUGUCCCCGCCACCUCGGCCCUGCUUGCGCUGGGGCGCAGGGGCUGCGUGGCUCCUCACCCUCCUCUUCCUCCCGAGAGAAGGCCAAGCCUGUGGCCUCUUGCCUCUGCUUGGACCCCGAGAGCUCCUUUUCCACACCGGGGCGUUUCUCCCACUGGAUGGCAGCAUUAGAGCAAAUAAACCUCUCCGAGGAGGCCGGUGGGCUUCUUCG